rnacentral:rRNA from 1 species
ACGGGUGAGUAAUAUAUCGGAACGUGCCCAGUCGUGGGGGAUAACGUAGCGAAAGCUACGCUAAUACCGCAUACGAUCUACGGAUGAAAGCGGGGGAUCGCAAGACCUCGCGCGAUUGGAGCGGCCGAUAUCAGAUUAGCUAGUUGGUGGGGUAAAAGCCCACCAAGGCGACGAUCUGUAGCUGGUCUGAGAGGACGACCAGCCACACUGGGACUGAGACACGGCCCAGACUCCUACGGGAGGCAGCAGUGGGGAAUUUUGGACAAUGGACGCAAGUCUGAUCCAGCAAUGCCGCGUGCAGGACGAAGGCCUUCGGGUUGUAAACUGCUUUUGUACGGAACGAAACGGUCUCUUCUAAUACGGGGGGCUAAUGACGGUACCGUAAGAAUAAGCACCGGCUAACUACGUGCCAGCAGCCGCGGUAAUACGUAGGGUGCAAGCGUUAAUCGGAAUUACUGGGCGUAAAGCGUGCGCAGGCGGUGAUGUAAGACAGAUGUGAAAUCCCCGGGCUCAACCUGGGACCUGCAUUUGUGACUGCAUCGCUAGAGUACGGUAGAGGGGGAUGGAAUUCCGCGUGUAGCA